UGCAGUGAGCUAUCUUAAGCAAAACCAAAC
rnacentral:piRNA from 1 species